rnacentral:rRNA from 1 species
UGGGGAAUUUUGGACAAUGGGCGAAAGCCUGAUCCAGCAAUGCCGCGUGUGUGAAGAAGGCCUUCGGGUUGUAAAGCACUUUUGUCCGGAAAGAAAUCCUUGGCUCUAAUACAGUCGGGGGAUGACGGUACCGGAAGAAUAAGCACCGGCUAACUACGUGCCAGCAGCCGCGGUAAUACGUAGGGUGCAAGCGUUAAUCGGAAUUACUGGGCGUAAAGCGUGCGCAGGCGGUUUGCUAAGACCGAUGUGAAAUCCCCGGGCUCAACCUGGGAACUGCAUUGGUGACUGGCAGGCUAGAGUAUGGCAGAGGGGGGUAGAAUUCCACGUGUAGCAGUGAAAUGCGUAGAGAUGUGGAGGAAUACCGAUGGCGAAGGCAGCCCCCUGGGCCAAUACUGACGCUCAUGCACGAAAGCGUGGGGAGCAAACAGGAUUAGAUACCCUGGUAGUCCACGCCCUAAACGAUGUCAACUAGUUGUUGGGAUUCAUUCCUUAGUAACGUAGCUAACGCGUGAAGUUGACCGCCUGGGGAGUACGGUCGCAAGAUUAAAACUUAAUGAAUUGACGGGGUCAUAGCUGUUUCCU